rnacentral:rRNA from 1 species
AGUGAACGCUGGCGGUAUGCCUAACACAUGCAAGUCGAACGGCAGCACAGUAAGAGCUUGCUCUUACGGGUGGCGAGUGGCGGACGGGUGAGGAAUACAUCGGAAUCUACUUUUUCGUGGGGGAUAACGUAGGGAAACUUACGCUAAUACCGCAUACGACCUACGGGUGAAAGCAGGGGAUCUUCGGACCUUGCGCGUUUGAAUGAGCCGAUGUCGGAUUAGCUAGUUGGCGGGGUAAAGGCCCACCAAGGCGACGAACCGUAGCGGGUCUGAGAGGAUGAUCGGCCACAGGGGAACGGAGAAAGGGUCCAGACUCCAACGGGAGGAGGAGGUGGGGAAUAUUGGACAAGGGGGGAAGGCCUGCUCAGGCCAGACCGCGUGGGGGAAGAAGGCCUUGGGGUUGUAAAGCCUUUUGUUGGGAAAGAAAAGCAGCAGGUUAAUACCCCGCUGUUCUGACGGUACCCAAAGAAUAAGCACCGGCUAACUUCGUG